UGGGGAAUUUUGGACAAUGGGGGAAACCCUGAUCCAGCCAUCCCGCGUGUGCGAUGAAGGCCUUCGGGUUGUAAAGCACUUUUGGCAGGAAAGAAACGUCAUGGGUUAAUACCCCGUGAAACUGACGGUACCUGCAGAAUAAGCACCGGCUAACUACGUGCCAGCAGCCGCGGUAAUACGUAGGGUGCAAGCGUUAAUCGGAAUUACUGGGCGUAAAGCGUGCGCAGGCGGUUCGGAAAGAAAGAUGUGAAAUCCCAGAGCUCAACUUUGGAACUGCAUUUUUAACUACCGGGCUAGAGUGUGUCAGAGGGAGGUGGAAUUCCGCGUGUAGCAGUGAAAUGCGUAGAUAUGGGGAGGAACACCGAUGGCGAAGGCAGCCUCCUGGGAUAACACUGACGCUCAUGCACGAAAGCGUGGGGAGCAAACAGG
rnacentral:rRNA from 1 species